GAUGGUCUCUCAAGACAGGUUCUACUGAAGUAACUGAAGGCAUGGUCUCUCAAGACAGGUUCUACUAUAGUGACUGAAGGCAUGGUCUCUCAAGACAGGUUCUAUUGCAAUGUCAGAAGGCAUUGUCUCUCAAGACAGUUCUAUUGUAGUGACAGAAGGCAUGGUCUCUCAAGACAGGUUUUAUUGUAGUGACAGUCAAGACAGGUUUUAUUGUAGUGACAGAAGGCAUGGUCUCUCAAGACAGGUUCUAUUGUAGUGACUGAAGGCAUGGUCUCUCAAGACAGGUUCUACUAUAGUGACUGAAGGCAUGGUCUCUCAAGACAGGUUCUAUUGCAAUGUCAGAAGGCAUGGUCUCUCAAGACAGUUCUAUUGUAGUGACAGAAGGCAUGGUCUCUCAAGACAGGUUUUAUUGUAGUGACAGUCAAGACAGGUUCUAUUGUAGUGACUGAAGGCAUGGUCUCUCAAGACAGGUUCUAUUGUAGUGACUGAAGGCAUGGUCCCCCAAGACAGGUUCUACUGUAGUGACAGAAUGAUGGUCUUUCAAGACAAGUUCUACUUUACAAAAUUACUGCAUACCUCUCAUCAAUUUCUUUUAUUUCAAUAAUGGAUAUAAAACAUGUGUUGGUCAUACUUUAUACAGACAGCUUGACUUUUUUUCUUUAACACCAAUAUGUUUAACUUAAUCCUUUAUUACAUGAUGAAUUACCAAAUGUGUAUUUAAUUAAUAUUAAUUGUACUAAUGUAUUUGUGUCGGGCAUUAAAAUCAUGUAGUGGGCACAUUGCUAACAAUAGUGAAAAGUGUUAUUCUAAAUAUCAUACUAUUGAUUCUCUAACCAUUGUGGAAAUAACUCCGUUACAGUUUAAAAUAUAAGACAAACCUGUAUAAGAUAAUGGGAUAAAGAUAUAAUUACUGGGAACAUUCAAUAAUUUAGCUACGCAUUUUAAAACAAUAUUCUUUUUGUAUUAUCUGUAUUUAGUUUUGGAUGUUUUGAUAGUGUUUAUUGUGCAGUAAUUGAUGCUGAGAUGUUUAAUGGUAGACUAGUAUCUUCUAAGUUCUUCAUAUUCUUCAUAAUUAUGUAUGAUUUUCUUAAAAUCCAUUCUCUUUAAAUGGCAGCAGUAAUAUCCUCCCGGUAAUUACUAGAGGAAUUUGAAUUGUGUCUUCAGCAGAAUGUGACAGACUUAUAAUGAUAUUUUAUACAUGUGUAUGUACUGUACAUAUAUUUUAUACCUAUUAUUUUGCAAAAUACAAUGCGAGACAAACUAAGUAAUGAACAAGUGCUUCUGCUUUCUGAACCUGCCUUACAUUUCACACAUUCCAUUAUAAUUUUGGGUUGGUUAUGGACAAUCACUUGCUCUAUCUAAUAGAACACUUUUGCCAUCCUUCUUACUUAAUUCUUUUGACAACCACAGAAAGCAGAAAUACUAGGAUGAAUAAGGGUUGACUUAUCUUUUAAGAAUGUAAAAUUAUUGUGAAUAAAAAGAACAUAACAACAA